UACGGAGGGUGCAAGCGUUAUCCGGAUUCACUGGGUUUAAAGGGUGCGUAGGUGGGUUGGUAAGUCAGUGGUGAAAUCUCCAGGCUUAACUUGGAAACUGCCAUUGAUACUAUCAAUCUUGAAUACCGUGGAGGUCAGCGGAAUAUGUCAUGUAGCGGUGAAAUGCUUAGAUAUGACAUAGAACACCAAUUGCGAAGGCAGCUGGCUACACGAAUAGUGACACUGAUGCACGAAAGCGUGGGGAUCAAACAGG
rnacentral:rRNA from 1 species